UUUACUUAACUUAUACAUGCAAGUCUCCGCACCCCUGUGAGAACGCCCUUAUACUCCUGAUUGGAAAAAGGAGCUGGUAUCAGGCACAACAAUUAGCCCAAAACACCUAGCCACGCCACACCCACAAGGGAACUCAGCAGUAAUAAACAUUGAACAUAAGCGCCAGCUUGAUUCAGCCAAAGUAAGAAGGGCAGGCAAAUAUGGUGCCAGCCGCCGCGGUUAUACCAUGAGGCCCAAAUUGACUAUUUUCGGCGUAAAGAGUGAUUAAAGUGAUCUUAUACUGUAGUUGAACUAGAAUAAAGUCGUGACAAGCUUAUAUCUAGGAAACCCAAAAACGAAAGUUACUACACCCCAAACAACUUGAAUUCACAAAAGCUAAGAAACAAACUAGGAUUAGAGACCCUACUAUGCUUAGCCACAAACUUUUAAUUACAACCUCAACGCCCGGGAACUACGAGCAAAGCUUAAAACCCAAAGGACUUGACGGUGCCCCAUAUCCCCCUAGAGGAGCCUGUCCUACAAUCGAUAACCCCCGUUUAACCUCACCAUUUUUAGCCAAAUCAGUCUGUAUACCUCCGUCGUCAACUUACCAUGUGAGUGGACAAUAGUAAGUUUAAUGUCUUAUUCGCCCGUCAAUACGUCAGGUCAAGGUGCAACAAAUAAAAUGGAAAGAGAUGGGCUACACUCUCUAAUUUAGAAAACACGAAGACUACUAUGAAAUCUAGUCCAAAGGUGGAUUUAGCAGUAAAAAAAGAACAGAGCGCUUUUUUUAAUAAGGCCCUGGGGUGUGUACACACCGCCCGUCACCCUCUUCGCAGCCACUCAUAUUAGUGUCUAACAGCCCCCUGCAUAGUAGAAGAGGCAAGU
rnacentral:ncRNA from 1 species